AGAACGAACGCUGGCGGCAUGCCUAAUACAUGCAAGUCGAACGAACACUUCGGUGUUAGUGGCGCACGGGUGCGUAACGCGUGGGAAUCUGCCCUUGGGUUCGGAAUAACAGUUGGAAACGACUGCUAAUACCGGAUGAUAUCGAAAGAUCAAAGAUUUAUCGCCCAGGGAUGAGCCCGCGUAGGAUUAGCUAGUUGGUGAGGUAAAGGCUCACCAAGGCGACGAUCCUUAGCUGGUCUGAGAGGAUGAUCAGCCACACUGGGACCGAGACACGGCCCAGACUCCAACGGGAGGCAGCAGUAGGGAAUAUUGGACAAUGGGCGAAAGCCUAGAUCCAGCAAUGCCGCGUGAGUGAUGAAGGCCUUAGGUUGUAAAGCUCUUUUACCCGAGAUGAUAAUGACAGUAUCGGAGAAUAAGCCCCGGCUAACUCCGUGCCAGCAGCCGAC
rnacentral:rRNA from 1 species